CGACCUUAGCUUUCUACCCUUGAAAAGUAACACGCUCUUUCCUUGAAAUGCAGCAGGAAGAACUAUUUUCCAUGAAUAUCUAAGAAGUUACAAGCCUGAGAACGCUAACCUAAAGGAGCAGUUACCUAUCUUGCUAUGUAACGGCUUUCAAUAUAUACUGAACAGAAAUGUAAAAUAUUCAGUGAAGAACUUAGAAGGAUAUUUGCUAAGAUGAAAGGACUAUCAGAACCUCUAUUGUGUCUCAGUUCUUGAAUGGCCAUAGCGUGGUGUCAGUUUGAGAAGAGAUGGAUUGGAAUGCUGAAUCUGGGACCAGAUAUACUAACACUCCUGGAGUUGAAAAAUUUGACCUGAAUUUUCUGAAGAGUGCCUCAGGUUGUUUUGUUUCGCUGGCAAGGAGGCACUGAGGCAUUAGUCUGCCAGACAGAGAUAUUCUUGAGAAGACAUCUGUUCCCAGGAAGGAAGCACCACCGGUCAUUUGAUCAGUAUCUGCUCAAGUACUCCACACCACGGUGCUGAAGGUCUCUGGGUUCAGUUCUGAGGAUGAUGCAGCAGAGACCACCGGGUAAGUUGCGGAGAUGGAAAAAGUCCCAGAGCUCUUCAGAAGGUACAGAUCCCUCUGAAGGCUCUCAGUACUUGAUUUACUGUUUGUACAGACAGUGCUGAAGCAUAUGGAGUAUACAGAAUGAUCAUCCAACAGUAAGAAAUGCACUACAUGUACUCACCUGCUUCAAUGAUAUGCAUUUGUCCUAAAACCAAUAACUCUCCUCUCCCAGAAAACAGUUUGUACUGAGAUUGCUGUGAACAGGAUUAAUGUGGUCAUUUGAAGAACUGGGAACAAGGAAAACCCUGCAGCCAAAAGACAUUCUUAGGUGUUCAGACAGACAGCCUCACCUACACGGCUGUUAUUUAUACAGAGAUAGACGCACACACAUACGCACACAUCUGCCAGCCUGCUGGAGAGUACGUCAUUGCUGGAGCUGGUGAGCCUUGCCAGUGCUGGCUUUUCGGUGAGAGCCUCAGCUGAACAUACUGUUCAGAUAUGUAUCCAGCUGUUCAUAUAGAACAGUAAUCACAACAGCAACGACUUUCAGAGCAGAGACUUCAGGCAACACUUGAGGCUGCAAACCAUCUCAGUAACUACCAGCUUGAAAGAUUCAGGCUGGUAUCUUCUGAUUCCUUCAUGUCUUCCCCUUAUACUUAAGCUUAACCUCAUCCUCCUGUUACGAGACUCAGGUAACAAAUUACUACCACAGAUGUGCCCCUAGGUGUCCAACACAGCAGCACGCGUGGUACAGAACAUACCGAUGCAUCAUGCAUCAGAACUCAGCUGGCUCUGCACAGUGAUGGCAGUUGAUUUACAGCACAAUAAUAUUCUGGAUGUUCAUUUAUUUAUUUUUUUGUCAACUACAUCUCUGAGCCCUACCUGAAUAUAACAUCUUUGGAUAUUUAGUAUUUUGAUAUAACCAUGACUACCUGUGACUGCUCUGUCUGUCUACAGUGACAGGAAAGGUAUGGAAUCUGCCUGCUGCCAAAAAUACCGGUUAUUGCAGCUUGGCAUAGUACAGACCCUCCCCUAGUACCUUGCUUUAAGGUGUCUUAAGCAAUGGGUUAGUCCCAGAGAGACCUGCUGUAAACACCCACCUUCACCAGUUCUGCAUCAUUCAGCUACCUCAGAUAAUUCGGCUUCAAGACAGGACAAAUUCAGCUUCAAGACAGGACAGUGCUUAUCUGAGAGUCACAGACAGUGAAUGCAGAACUGUCAAUUUCAGUCCAAAAAUUAUUAUUUUCUGGAGUGUGUACUGACGCCUUCAAGCAGUCAAUUAACCUUAGCAGUGCUCUGGGAUAUUCUUGAGGCUUUUUCUGAAUGCUCAAUGAUAACUAUAGUGGAUUAUGCUAUGCACAUACUUCUGUAUUCCUUCUCUGUCUACUGAAAGGCAUGGAGAUGCCAAAAAGACAAAGUUCAACAAGUGCAUGUGCUGUGCAAUGAAACGUCGUUCUGAGAGGAAGGGGAAAAUCUUCUGCAUUUGCUGUCCUUUGGGCCUUACCAAGAGCCUGAACAAUUGAACAGGAAAUGAUUCACUUCAUUUCCUAUGCCAUUGCAUACCACGAGCUUACUCCUACCAUUGUAGUCUCAAGUGCACUGAUGACUGCUUUCAAGCAUCAGCACCUUAUCGGGGAGAUGAUCCCUGUUUGCAGGAUCUCAAACAUCAUCGCUUUCACCUUACAUUCAACUGGCAAUAUUUUACUGACCUACAACCCCUUCCUGUAACCCCUAGCUAUGUUCCUGCAACAAGAGCUAGACUCCUCCAUUUAACAGCAGUGUAUCUAAGCACACAGCUUACUACAGUAACCAAGUGUGCAUGACAAUCUCAGAUUGUACUUUGAACAUUCAAGUAAAUUUAAAACAUGAUGCUAGCAUAUAUAAAUACUUGUAUAUCCACAGAAUUCUGAGCAUCUUGCAGAUUUAUUAUCGCUGUUACAGUUUUUUCAGCAGAAAGGGUAACGCUUAAAAUACACAGAUAAAAGACUCAACUUCUUAUAGCAGAAUCUCAGGAGACAUCCUGCAGGAGAGAACCCAGCAGCAGGCACCCAGCUGUGUGUGUGCUCCCCACGAGCAGUGUGCCAUUGGGGCUCCACCUAAAAACCAUUCAGCAGCAACAACAAAUGAAGUUUCCAAUACUGUGCAAGAGAAGUGACAGCCAAGUAAAUCAAGUACCUUGUCCAAGAUCAUUCCAGAGAUCAACUUCAGUGCCAGGAACAGAACAUACCUUGUCUACUUUCCUGCUGUUUGAUUUUAUUCACUCUGUAGUGGCUGCUCCGUGGCUCCCAUGGACAUCCUCUCUCUCUCUGUGUACAUGUCCUCUAAAUUCUUUACCUCGUCACCCCAUCUUCCCGGCUUACCCUUAAGGCAAUUGAUGCAUGUUUAGUAAUUACAGCCUUCUCUCCAACUCAGUUCCUCCAGAUCCUUUUGUUCUCUCUCAACUAUCACUGUGACUUGGAGGCAACCUGAAAGUGAACACUGUGACUCCAACCUUGCUGCAACACAGAGUGAAGGAGACCAGAGGACAUCCUAUCACUCCUCCAGUUCCUACUGCAGGCAGCCCACGGGAGCAGACCCAGCCUGCAAUAGUGAUUCCUUCCACCUCUACGUUCCUUUCAAGGCAGGCAGGCAGGUUCCUUCUGCCCUGUGCUUUCAACACAGUUUCCAUAUUGCACAGAUUGCCAGUUACCAGCAAUCUCUGCGUAGUUUUCACAUCCUAUAUGCUAAGCAUUAACAGGUGACCUCAAAUCCAAGGCAAAUCUCCCACAUUAAGUAUAACCCAGUACUACAGAUUAGCAUAAUUUCCUGCAGCUCUGCUGAUGAUAGUAAAAAUUAAUACAUCUUAAUAUAUCAGCAAAGCUUGCCAUAGAAGCUGAGGAAUGGGAUCUGCUGUGUCCCAUGCGAGGUUUAUUUUAGAUUUAUACUUGAGAAUGGAGUUGAUCCACAGCAGUCGACUCCAAUUCACCUCUCUAUGGAUAGAUUUUCAGUCGUCAUCUACAACCCAGGCCAGCUGCGCAACCAAGUAGUGAUCUGUACACAGAUGCUUCAUUAUGUGCAGAAAUGAGCAAGAAGUUCAGAAGACAUCUCAGCUGGAAGCUAUCCAUGCCUGUCUGUCUCAUGAUUAGAGGAAACCUGGGAAGUUCAAAUGCAAAACCAAAACAAAGUGUCUGAAGAGACUCACCAGCUCGCUCUGUCCUGCAGUAUAUCCAGAGGCAACAAACUGCGUCAAGAACACAAGAUGAGUUGAAACUGUGUGAGAGCUAAAAUGAUCUGCGGAAAUAAAUCGAUGCAGACAAACCUGUGUUAAGGAGCCACAUGAGAGAUUAGAAAAGAUCAGUAGCUUAACAAGAAGUUUUUGAGGAACAGAAAUAUUAAUCAUACUUAUUAUGCUUUGCAAUGCCUUUAAGGCAGAGCUCGCCUAACGGAGGUGCUGCAUUCCCAUUGAUUUCCCCGUAAGGUCCAUGAUGUGUGAAAAAUUGAGGAGCUGCAAUGAAAAAUUAUUUGCCAGCUAGAUUGGAAAGUUAGCUUUGCAAAAGUAACUUGUAUGCAACUUACGUAAAGCAGGAGAAAAACGUAACGUUCAUGACAGGGUAAGGAAAACAGCUUGGAGUAAUGUGCAAAGCUUGUAAAGCAGGUUGGGUUUCCACAACCAAACUAAGGAAAUUACAAUCACAUCUGCAAAGAUUUCUUCCCACCUGGGCAACCCUUCAAGCUCACGUCGUUGGGAAUUUUCUGUGCCAAGCAGAGGGAGGAUGACUUACUGGGUGCUUGUGUAUUCAUGGCAAAACAGAAGGAGAGGAAAAGGAAACAUUCUCCAUCUUCAGAAAGUUACAGUGGAAAGGGACUGCUGUUCUUCUUCAGCGCAAAGGAACGGUGUUGUUUUCACUUAGCAUCCAAAAUGCUUACAUUUCAGAGCCAGGACAGGAUUUUAUUUGUGGAAAUCAAAACCCAUUAUUGUGUGUGCACACUUACAAAAACUCACCACCUCUGGAGUGAAAUGUGGCAGCUGUUUCACAAAUAAGAAGCAAUUUCCACUGAUGAAAUGCAGGCAGUGCAGCAGAUAAUAGCCUAGCCUACUGCCUUACAAACCUUCCUCUUUUGGAGAUUCUUUCUUUUUUUCCUCCCCUCUCUCCCUUUGAUGGAAACCACCUUUCCAUCAGACUCAGCAGACUAACUGGGAUUUCAAACAUCCUAGGAGUGGCAGCGUGUCCCCCAGACACGUAUCCACAUGCAUAAUGUGUUUGCUGUGUUUUCCAGCCAGCAGAUGGUUGCCUGGUUGUAUUCAAUCAAAGUGUUUUUGCUACUAAGUGCCCUGAUUUUUCCACAGAAAAAUAACCCAGAUGGAGGUCACAAAUGCAGAACCACGGUGCCUCACCCAAGCCUUCCUCUCCUGUACCAUCAGUAGAGAAAUGUUAUUUACAAAAGCACCUGCCUUUCCAGGCAUGCUGUACCCUGUAGGUAUCCAAUACCCCUGUGCUGAAGCGCCUGCCUUGAAUUAAAAGAAAGCUACCCCAUCUUUCGCUCAGCUUUUAGCCCCUUCCACCUUGUAACAAGAUGGCAGUGUACCAGUUAUUAAAACCUAACACAAUAAUAGCCAGCAAUACUUUCCUUGCCUCAGCUGUUUGUAAGAUGAAAUACUGGCACUUCCCCACAAGGCUUUAUCCCUUCUGAAAUCCUACUCAGCGUUCUGGACUGACAGACAUUGAGCCCCAGAGGAAUUUCUACUGAGACUACAUGCAGAUGCUCCAGCACUAACAAAGCCUGCUCACUGUGUAAUAACGCACACUAUUGCCCUGAUGCCAGGAUGUCAUAGGAGCUCUGCGUGAUGGUAAGCCUGGGGUGCUGUGCUCCACUGAUGCACACAACUGAAGAAAAGGAAAGAGGACAAAUAUUUGUACCACUCCUGUGACCACGAAGACCAAAGCGAUGACCAAAUUCCUGGGAGGUGCAUGUUUGAAGAAGGCUCAUUUCAACAACUGAGAAUAAUGCAUUUUCCAAUUUCUCAGUGCAGAAAGCCUGAUAUAUCCACCUACCUCCUUAAGUGCAGUGAGUGGCCUGCACUGAGCUCU
rnacentral:lncRNA from 1 species